GUUCUUUUUCAGAUAACGACCUGUUUAUGUAUUAAAAGCAUUGGAACGUAUCCAGUUACUGAUACCACUUUCUGUAUAUCGCCGUGUCGCACGGACUCGGUUUUCUGUUCAUCAGGAUUUGGAGUUCCGUUGUUUAAAUAUAAGCCAGAGGUAAUUUCAAGACGAAGUAUGUUUUAUUACUCAUACCAUUGUGUGGCUACAAAACAUGGCUACAACUACGAUGAUAACUGCUACACUGGAUUUCAUGGCUUCAACUGUAAUGGAAUAGAAAAUAUUGGUCUGCACACAAAUUGGAUUAACGCUGUCAAUAACUGUACAAAUUGUAAAACAACUGCCAAAUGCAGUCAGAAACUCAUCGGCCGGUCUUUGGCUACGAUAUUUCAGAUAUCAAAUAUUACAUCAAGCUACAAACAAGGAAAGAAGGAAAUGUAUUGCAAUUUUCGUAAAGAAUAACCAGGAGUUUAACAGUGACUAUAUACAAUGGAGCCAUUACCAAGAAAAGAAUUGUUCAGAAUUGCUCCCAUUUAUUUGUUUGGGUGGUCACAAAACUGCUUUAUUUCCAAACUCAACUGUAAAAGAAAAUUCAACCUCACAGUUUUCAUCAAGAUUUAAAGAAACUAACAAAAAU